ensembl:lincRNA
GAUAGAUAGAUAAAUAGAUAGAUGAUGGAUAGAGAAUAGAUGAUAGACAAUAGCUAACUAGCUAGCUUGCUAGAUAGAGAUGGGGAAUCGACUCACACGACUGUGGAGGUGAGAGGGCGACCCAGGGCAGCCACUGGUAUAGCCCCAGCCUGAGUCUGAAGGUCUGAGAACUGGGAGGGUCAACAGUGAAAAUCCUAGUCCAAGUCCAGAGGGAGGAGACGAGUGGCGGCCCAGCUCAAAGACGGGCGGGAGACAGCACGCUCCCCUGACCCAGCCUCUUCCUCCUAUCCAGGCCUUCAGCAGACUCACUGGAGGCUCCCACCCACACUGGGAGGCCCACCUGUGUCCUCGGUCCACUGAUUCACAGGCUGAUCUCAUGGGAAACUCCUUCACCGCCACACCCAGAAUAACAUUCGAUCAAACCCGGGUGACGCACAGAGCCGGCCAUCGCACGAGCUGCCCUCGUGCAGAUUCAGCACAAAGCACACGGGGUACACGCGCCCCGAGCACGGGAGGCACGGAUGCAAAAUGCUGGAGCAGUGAUGUGUGUGGGUGUCUAAGCAGGAGCCAGAAGGUGCUUCUGAAGGAGAGAAAACGCGGCAGGAGCAGAGGCCGGAAGCCUGGCUUCUCCCUGAACGUCGGCGCUCAGCUGGCGCUGGAGACGGUCUUGAGUCGGGCAGGCUUGUCUCAGUUCAGCCCCGUCUUCGUCCUUCACCUGCGUUCAAUCGCCUUGUCUCCAUCCUGUUCUUCCCAGCUCAUUCUUUUGUCUCUUGUUUUGAAAAUAUUUCCUAAUUAUAACUCCGUAAGAUUAUUUUUCAAACCAACUGCAAAACCACCUGUGUCAUAUUCAGUUCUUUGCACGUCACGCAGGUCCAGCUCGAGGGGUUGGCAGGGCCGUGCGGCCCCUGAAGGCCUUUUCCUGCCUCUUCCAGCUUCUGGUGGGGACUGCAGGCCCUGGGUGUCCCUUGGCUGGGGGAGCCUCCCGCCAGCCUCUGCCUUCAUUUUCCCUGGGGCCCCCCUCUGUGUGUGUGGGGUGUGUGUGUGUGGGUGUGGGGUGUGGGUGUGGGUGGGUGUGAGUGGGUGUGGAUGUGAGUGGGUGUGGAUGUGAGUGGGUGUUUGGGGAGUGUAGGGGUGUGUGUGUGUGUGGGUGUGGGUGUGGCUGUGUGUGGGUGUCUGUGGGUGUGUGUGGGUGUGGGUGUGGGUGGGUGUGGGUGUGAGUGGGUGUGUGGGGGGUGUGGGGGUGUGUGUGGAUGUGUGUGUGUGUGUUUAGGAGUGUAUGUGUAGGUGUGUGUGGGUGUGUGUGGGUGUGGGGAUGUGUGUGUGUGUGUGGCUGUGUGUGGGUGUGGGUGGGUGUAAGUGUGGGGGUGUGCAUAUGUAUGUGUGUGAAUGGGUGUAUGUCGGGGUGUGGAUGUGUGUGGCUGUGUAUGUUGUGUGUGGGUGUGUGUGUGUAUGUGUGUGAAUGGGUGUGUGGGUGUGGGGGGUGUGUAUGAGUGUGAAUGUGUGUGUGUGUGUGUGUGGGUGGGUGUGGGUGUGAAUGGGUGUGUGGGUGUGGGGGGUGUGUAUGAGUGUGAAUGUGUGUGUGUGGGUGGGUCUGUGUGUGGGUGUGGGUGGGUGUGAGUGGGUGUGGGUGUGAGUGGGUGUGGGUGGUGAGUGUGUGUGUGUUUGGGAGUGUAUGUGUAGGUGUGUGUAGGUAUGUGUGGGUGUGUGUGGUGUGUGUCAGUGUGGGGAUGUGUGUGUGUGUGUGUGUGUGUGGCUGUGUGUGGGUGUGGGUGGGAGUGUGGGAGUGUGUGUAUGUAUGAGUGUGAAUGGGUGUGUGUGGGUGUGUGUGGCUGUGUAUGGGUGUGUGUGGUGUGUGUGUAUGUUUGUGAAUGGGUGUGUGUG